GACGAACGCUGGCGGCGUGCUUAACACAUGCAAGUCGAACGGAAAGGCCCUGCUUUUGUGGGGUGCUCGAGUGGCGAACGGGUGAGUAACACGUGAGUAACCUGCCCUUGACUUUGGGAUAACUUCAGGAAACUUGGGCUAAUACCGGAUAGGAGCUCCUGCUGCAUGGUGGGGGUUGGAAAGUUUCGGCGGUUGGGGAUGGACUCGCGGCUUAUCAGCUUGUUGGUGGGGUAGUGGCUUACCAAGGCUUUGACGGGUAGCCGGCCUGAGAGGGUGACCGGCCACCUUGGGACUGAGAUACGGCCCAGAAUCCUACGGAGGGCAGCAGUGGGGAAUAUUGCACCAUGGGCGGAAGCCUGAUGCAGAAACGCCGCGUGCGGGAUGACGGCCUUCGGGUUGUAAACCGCUUUCGCCUGUGACGAAGCGUGAGUGACGGUAAUGGGUAAAGAAGCACCGGCUAACUACGUG
rnacentral:rRNA from 1 species